rnacentral:tRNA from 1 species
GCCGGCUUAGCUCAAUUGGUAGAGCAACUGACUUGUAAUCAGUAGGUUGGGGGUUCAAGUCCUCUGGCCGGCACCA